GCAGUCGAACGGCAGCACGGGCUUCGGCCUGGUGGCGAGUGGCGGACGGGUGAGUAAAGCGUAGGAACCUAUCCUUUUGUGGGGGACAACCCAGGGAAACUUGGGCUAAUACCGCAUAAGUCCUGAGGGAGAAAGCGGGGGAUCUUCGGACCUCGUGCUGAAGGAGGGGCCUACGUCCGAUUAGCUAGUUGGUAGGGUAAAGGCCUACCAAGGCGACGAUCGGUAGCUGGUCUGAGAGGACGAUCAGCCACACUGGGACUGAGACACGGCCCAGACUCCUACGGGAGGCAGCAGUGGGGAAUUUUUCGCAAUGGGGGCAACCCUGACGCAGCAACGCCGCGUGUGGGAAGAAGGCUUUCGGGUUGUAAACCACUUUUGCCCGGGACGAAAGGGGGGGCCUGAAUAAGGUCACCCGAUGACGGUACCGGGAGAAUAAGCCACGGCUAACUCUGUGCCAGCAGCCGCGGUAAGACAGAGGUGGCAAGCGUUGUUCGGAGUUACUGGGCGUAAAGAGUCUGUAGGUGGUCUGUCAAGUCUUUGGUGAAAGGCCGUGGCUUAACCAUGGGAAUGCCAAAGAGACUGGCAGACUGGAGGCUGGGAGAGGGAAGCGG
rnacentral:rRNA from 1 species